AGUGUUCGCAGCAGUGAAGGCAUGGCACCCCAGCAACAGGCUUUGUCCCUUGAGCAUGGUGCUUGCUCUUUCUGAGCAUCAACUAGGGUCACGUUAGAAGGCCCAGGCAGGAGAAAGCCGAACACGGCUGGCUGAGGGAGUGUCUGAUGACCACGCUGUGCGGAGGCUGCCAUCUGAACUGAGCAGAUGCUUCACUGAGCAGGCGAGAGCACAGGCUGAGGAUGAGUCCAUUGUAGAAUCGAUAGAAAGUAUCCAGAUUGAAGCUUUACUUUGUUCCUGAUCAAAUGUGAAAAAUAAAACAAGCAAGCAAAAUGCAGCACUGUCAUUCGGAUGUUUCCAUACAGAAACCCAUGCACACCUCAGAGCUGGGUUUACAUCGAGCUCUUGGUCAGUGCUGCUGAGUCGGCAGACAGUGAAGCUUGGCUGGCUGGAGAGAAUUCAACCAUGGACAAAACUUCGCCACCUUCAUUUCACAGAAAACCAGCGUGUGCCCCCACCCUCCCGUCCCAUAUUCCCUCUGACCAUCCACAAGAUCAAACUGCAGUUUCGUGUGGGGUGAGGACAUUUUCAUACACUGUUGUUUGGUGUGUUACAUGAUUUGCCUGGAAGCCAGCGUGUGCAAGGCCUGUCUUCACUGUGAACCACCCUCUUCUGCAAACUGCUGCUCAGGCUGUGUCUGCCACAUCAUUUUCUAUUAACUGAACAUGACUAUAACAAAGCAAACACCAACACUGUAUGAAUAACCAUGAAGGCACCAAGAUAAUACAUUUAAGUACUGUGGAGAAACGUGGGCAGAAGACUACCGUGGAUGUGACAAUGGGAAACAGCACGAAAAAGGAAAUUAACGCUCUUUUCUGUGUUUCCAGAAAAUGCCAAUGCCUAACUGGCUCAUGAGAGACACCACCGAGUGCCCCAGGUCUGUCUGUACACUCUCACUAAUUAUAGUAUUACGUUCUCUUGGCAUUAUAGACACUCAUUCCUCUUGUCUCCUGGCCUGCUUCGAUUCAGAAACAGGCAUAUAGAAUGUAUGUGCUUUGAGCCUUAUACAUUCGCGUCGAAAGAUUCGAAUCCAGAAACACUGCAUAUUCCCUUAGCAGGAGCUGAAACUAGAUUUAAGGGAUCACAAAUCACCAAUGUCACCAUCUAAGGUAAAGAUGAUUCUACAAUUGUCUCUGCUUAACAGAAUGGCUUGUCUACUCUCACUCUGCUGAUUAUUUACUCAACUCUAAGGUACACUUUUAUUUGUGUUUGAAUUGAUAAAGCAAGAUGCUGGAAGACCCCAGCGCCUGUGCUCAUUUCUAGUUGCUGCCUUAGUUUAAGGCACAAUUUCCUUUAUUUCACUUUUCCACAAGCCAUAAAAAAAACUCAUUUCUAAUUCAUCCGUUCGUUCAGCUUAACCUCUCUUCUCAGCAAUUAAAGCACUCUGCGCAUCCCUCAUCUAUCACACAGCCAGCUAAAUAAUGCAUUGCGUCCUCCGCUCAUCUUUUAUCAUCCCAAAUGACAGGUAUUAGCAUAUCUCCCCAGUCAAUUACAGUGCAGCAGAAUAAUCACAGCAUAAUUGGGCGAAAGCCACUCUAAUCACCAGCCCUGCAAAUGCUCAGAAUAAAAACUGAGUGGCAGUUCAGACAGGCCUUGCUCUUGUCCGUGACUCCAGCCAACAAGCCUGGCAGCUCUCCAUUUCCUUCCUUUCAGCGCUUACCCUUUGGGGAGGUCAAGUUCUCCAACGCAUCCUCUGUACAGAAGAAAAUGCGUGUGCGUUACACUGCAUACGGUAAACGUUUCCAUAGCUGAUCAGAAAGCAAAACCUAUUUCGUGAGAGUGAUGUCAGCAGGUGUUUUGGGUUCUGGCUGAGCUUAAUUUCUAUAAAGGUUAUUAUUGUCAGAAUUGCAGGCCUUUGAGUAUCCACACAGUAAAGAAAUACUUUUUUUCAUCUCAAA
rnacentral:lncRNA from 1 species